rnacentral:lncRNA from 1 species
GUUGAGGGAUCCUAUAUAUAGGGUCACUCUCAACCAAACUUUCACUUUUCAUUUGGUCUUUUGGUGCUGAGACUCUACCGGAAGAUCGCUCCAGCGUCUGAGGUUGUUGUUCCCAGCUUUUUCAGAUCAAGUUUCUAUUUUUUCUUAAAUCUCUUCUUCUCUAGUCUUCAUCUUUUAUGGCUAGGAUUUCUUCUUCUCGAGAUGGUC